GAGAGAGACUUUGCUAGUAGCGAGGGCUGCUACCCGUCGUUUCGCCGGUUGGAUCCCGGCGCUCACUCG
rnacentral:tRNA from 1 species